rnacentral:lncRNA from 1 species
ACUGAAUGAUGCGCCUUGCAAUUGCCGCAGGGGAGUGUUCCUCUUCAAUCAGUGCUGCAUGGUUUUUAGGCUGGUGCUUCUGUCCAUUGCCGGGUGAAGCUUUUCCUAAUCUAGGCUGAUUUAUUGUAACCUUAUUAUAAAUUUAGAAAUGGGACAUUAGAAAACAGAAAGUCGAUGAAAUCACGAGUACCAAAAGAGUUCGGAUGUGGAAAUGUGGAAUAUGUCAUAAGGUUGAUAUCCAAAGAUCCAUCACUUUGAACAUCCAAAGAUUUUCAAAGUGAGAACAAUGAAUGAUAGAAUUGUAAGAUGUGUGUUGAGAUCAUUAAAUGGAGCUGGCGCUUUCCAUAAUAUUUACUGUAGACUACAUUAAAUACCAUAGCUACAAUAUUUGGAGUCUAGCGGAGAAGCAUUGUUCAUCGUGUUCUCUUUUUUGUUCUUAUAUACGAGACAGUAUCAAAUGAAUAGAUUUUUAUGUGUGAAGCUCUGUCUCCUUAGAAACCCUCUUGUGUGUAUGACUUAAUACUACUCUUGUGUGUGUGUAUGAUUAACUCUUACUUUUGUGUCUUUCUAAAUAUUCUCAACACAUUAUCAUCACAACUCUCUUCUACACACUAUCACAAAUUUUUUUGCUCUAGUCUUAACUCUUCAAACUUGUUGCUACUCUUGCUUAGUGUCUGCCUCAUGAUCUUGUUCUUCUUACUGGCCCCUCACACAUUAGCUGCUUGUUUAGAGCACUUGUUCCACUCUCUCCCUUGCUUGCUUAGAAUACUUGUUUAGAAUACUUCAUCCAGUCCAACUCCACCCCAACUUGCUCCUUGCUCCCUGUUGCACUCCAGGUUUAGCCUAAUGCCGAACUACCGCCAAACAGCUGCCAAAUUACUGCCGAACCCGCCACUGCCCCUACUGCUACCAUGUGGCUCGUCGCCGUUGUUGUCUACUGCCACCUUGCCGCCCUACUACUGCUUAUUGCUAUUCUACUGCCAUCUUAUUGCUAUUCUACUGCCUUAUUUUAAACCCCCUAAAAUAUAUAUAUAUAUAUAUAUAUAUAUAUUUGUUUUUUUUUCAAGUUCAAGUUUAUUAUUUUAUUUGACUUAAUAUUUUAAGAUACGUUUUAUUCAACUUUUCUACUUAAUCUUGUAUUUUCUUUACAAAUUUAUUUAUAAUGAGUGCUUCAACAUCUUCAACUACUUCUACUAUGAUUCCAACUACUACUAAUACAUCCCAACAUUUUCAAGCUCUUUUAUUUCCACCAUUGACUGUGGAUGGAAACAAUUAUCUAUUAUGGGUAAAAAUGGCAAAGGCAUAUUUAUUUGCGAAACAACUCUCAGAUGCCAUUAUGUUUGAAGAAUCUCCUACAAUAAGUAUUUCUAUACCUCCUGCUAUUCAUUGGAAAGCACUUCUUCUCCUUCGUUGUCAUCUUGUACCUGCAUUACAACAUCAAUAUUUGAAAAUAGAAAAUCCUGCAGAACUUUGGAAGAAUCUUAAAUCCAAGUUUGAUCAUCAAAAGACCAUUUUUCUUCCACGUGCACGUCAUAAUUGGACACAUUUACGUGUCUUAGAUUUUCCAAAUUUAAAUACUUUCAAUAGUGAAAUGUAUAGUAUUGUCUCACAAUUACGAUUAUAUGGACAAAGCAUUUCUAAAGAAGAAAUGAUUGAGAAAAUUCUCUCUACAUUUCCUCCUGUAUUUGCUGUGCUUGCACAACAAUACAGGAACAUGAAAUUUCAGAGUCAUUCUGAUCUCAUGUCCUAUCUACUUCUUCCGGAGAAGCAAAAUGACCUACUCUUGCACAAUGCGGAAGCUCGUCUUAUUGGAACUAUAGUUCCUGAAUCUCAUGCACUUAAUAUUUCAAAGUCUAAGAAGAAAUUAUAUAAACAUGGGAAACGUGGUCAUAAGUAUGAGGGUAGACAUAGUUAUGACCAUUUCUAUCCAUAUGGAAAGAAUAAACGUUCUACUAUUAAUUAUAGUAGAAAAUAAAAAUCAGAGAUGUCUUCUUGCCAUAAGUGUGGAAUGAUUGGACAUUUAGUACAUGCGUGCCAUACUUCAAAAUAUUUUAUUAAAAUGUUCCAAAAAAAUAAGAAAUUGCGAGCUGAGGCUCAUGAAGUUCAUACCAUGGAUGCAUCCAUGGAUUCAAUUGGUGUUGAUGACUUAGAAGCUUAUAUGAAUGAUAGAACCUCUAAUGAUGAAUCAAAUAAUGUGCUCAUUGAUUCUGCAACAAUACAUACUAUCUUGCGAAAUAGACGAUUUUUUAUUGAAAAAUCUUCAACUUGGCAAACUAAAAAUAUGAUGACCAUGGUUGGAGCAAAUACGUUUUGUUUCUAAGAAGGCACAACGAUAGUAAAAUUACCUGCAGAUUCUAUUAUAAAAUGUAAACAUGCGAUGUUUGCACCCUAAGCACCUCAGAGUCUGAUCAGCUACCAAGAUAUGCGUAUUAAUGGUUAUCAUCUCUCGAUUGCCACUUUAAAUAGAAAAGAGGUUUUGGUUCUUGCAAAGAACCAGAAAGUUGUUGAAAAAGCUUUUACUACAGAAAAUGGUUGAUAUCGAAUUGUGAUUCGGCCUCCUAUCAUAUUUAAUUUUACAUCAUCUAUUACAGAAAGUCGUGUUUCUCUCUGGCAUGGACGAUUGAGACAUCCAAGAUCUACAUUAUUUAGAAAGAUAAUUCCAUGUAUAACUGGGCAUAAUUUAAAGCAUGCAGAUAUAGACUCUAUGGAAUUAUGUCGUGAAUGUAUGUAAGAUAAAAUGAUUACUCAGCCCUCAAUUUAGAAACUUCCACAAGAAUUACCACCAAUGCUUGAAAGAUUGCAUGGUGAUAUUUGUGGUCCUAUUAAUCCAAUAUGAAGACCAUUUCGUUAUUUUUUGGUCCUUGUUGAUGCAUCAAGUAAACAAUCACAUGUUUCAUUAUUAUCAACUCGAAACAUGGUGUUUGCCAAUCUUAUAUCUAUGCUUAUUUGUUUUUGGUCAUAUUUUCCUGAUUAUCCUAUAAAAACAUUGUGUAUGGAUAAUGCAAAAGAAUUCACAUCAAAGUCUUUUGAAGACUAUUGUAGUGCAAUAAGAAUCGAGUUGACAUAUUGUGUUCCAUAUGAACAUGCUCAAAAUGGACUUGCAGAGUCAUUUAUAAAGCAUAUAGGACUCAUUACACGGCCACUCCUCCUUCACGCAAAUUUAACUACAUCUAUGUGGGAUCAUGUAGUUUUACAUGCUGCUGCAUUAAUAUGCCUCUCCCCUUUUUCUCUUAAAAUUGUUUCACCACAUGAACUCAUUUCGGGUCGUAUUCCAAAUGUAUCUCACUUACAAGUAUUUGAUUACCGUACUUGGAUUCCAAUACCAGAACUUCAACGGUGUACCAUUAGAGUUCAUCGACAAGAAGGCAUAUAUGUUGGUUUUGAUUCACCAAGCAUUAUUCAUAUUGUUGAUCCAUCAACUCACACAUUAUUAUGUACACCUUUGCAAAAUUUUUGUUUUGAAGAAAAUGUAUUCCCAUCUCUUCAAAGAUGAGUAUCCAAUCAACAAAGAAAUAAAGUAUUCAUAUUUGAUGUACUAGAAACGUUCCUAUGUCACGGACAUACUUAUAUAAGCUAAUAAUUACAUAUACAAAUAGGUGGAAGUAAAUAAAAGUAAGUAAAAAUAAGUUCAUUCUAUAGUAUUUAAUAUGGAAGCUUCCUAGAAGCUUCAUAGACAUUGCUUUGACUUCAUAGGUAUCUUUAAUUGACUUUUCUCAAUUAGAAAUGUGGUCAACAAGUUGGCCAUGUGUCACACAUAUUGUUAACUUGAAGAUCAAGCUAACUAUGCGGCCCACACAUAGAAAAACUUGCCUUAUAAGUCAAGGCAUGUGUCCUACAAAGUCAACACAUAUUGGAGGUCCUAUAGAACAUCGCCACGUAGUCCCUAGUUGGAUAGUAUAUAUAGAGACAAGAGUGAAGCCUUCUUCACUCUUGUCAACUCUUUUCUUGCUCCCAGCCUAGUUUCAAGAGUCUUCAUGUUUUCUAGUCUUUGGCAAUAGUCAUUUCAUUUUCUCUUUCAAUAUACAUACUUGUUUAUUUAUAUUUUGUUACCUUUCUUUGAGUGAAGGCUCACUUGUCAGAAUUGCUUUUCAUCGAGUUCUUAUCUUUGACAGAUUGACAAGAGUACACCUACAAUAUCAGAGCUUUGUCUAAUCUUGAUUAAGAAUGGAUUACUCCUUUUUUUUGAUAAGAUAUAACCAUAUUAGAAGUUGCGGAUUACCCUCUUCUAAACUGAUAUUGUCUUUAGUAUUUUUUUUGUUCUCAAGUCCUCUCUUCUAUUUGUCUUGAGCAAUAUUAGACAUCUUCUCUUUUCUAAGUGUUAUCAUGGCAGAACUUGUUGAAAUGAAGAAUGCAAUGGCACAAAUGUAAGAGCAAUUGUAGAAGUUAAUGCUUGCAAUACAUCAAUUCAAUUUACCACCUCAAGGAGCAAUAAGAUUGGCAGGAAGUGAAGACAUAGAAAUGGUUGAAGCUGCUUCAACAUCUGCACCAAACCAUGUCUUUUCUCCUAUGGUGGAACGCCCUUCCAGUAUUAGAGAACUAAGAAUUGUCCUACCCAAGAAGUUUGAUGGCACCAGAUCCAAGUUUCGAGGAUUUAUCAAUUAAGUGCAACUUGUGAUUGAACUUCAACCCCAAAGCUAUCCAACUCCAGGAUCGCAAGUUAGAUUCAUUGGUACGCUUCUUUUAGAUUCAGCACUAUCGUGGUUUUCAUUUUUUCUUAAACGACGAGAUUCAAUAUUGGAUAAUCUAGAGGCUUUUCUGGCAGAGUUUCGAUCCAUGUAUGGAGAACAUGAUGUAAUUUGUAUUGCAACCAAUAAGAUCUGUAUUUUACGAUAAGACAAUCGAUCAGUAACAUUGUAUGCUUUAAAAUUUUGACAACUUGUAACUGAUAUCAAGUGGGAUGAUGUUGCACUUAUUAGCCAAUUUCUCUAUGGAUUACAAUAUGAGGUAAAAAAAUUAAUGCUCAACUUAUCUGAUCCUCAAACAUUGAGUCAACCAAUUGACUUUGCUGUGAAGUGCAACAAUCGCCUUUUUGAAUUCUGAUCUGAGAACCGUAUAAGUGGACCUCAACGUUACUAUAAUUCAAUGGCAACACCAACACCUCUUCAACACAUACAUUCGGAAGUAGAAGAUAUGCAAAUUGAUGCAGUACGUUUCAAACCUCUUACUCAAUAAGAAAAGACUUGUCGUCGUCAAGAAGGAUUAUGUUUAUAUUGUAGAGAACCAAAGCACACUGCUCAACAUUGUCCAAAGAAAUGACGCAAUCACAAAAUGAGGAGUAUGGCUGUGAAAGAAGAUAAUAUGUUGGAAAACGAGUUUGUUCAGCUACAAUAGGGACCGUGUGACUGGAACCUUGCACAAUAUCUAGUAAAGGUCCUAUUCUCUCCUCAGAGCCCUGUCCUUGUUUUACAUUAAAUGUUAUUUUAGGACCUAAAUAUUACAAAGUCUCUGCUUUGUUAGAUUCAAGAACCUCUGCAUAUUUUUUAGAUGAAGAAUUUACUAAAAGACAUGGCAUAUCUUUAGUAAAGAAAACUAAACCUGUUCAUGUAGAAGUCAUAGAUAGUCGUCCAUUGUCUUUCGGAGAUAUUACUCACGAAACCCUUUCUAUAGAAAUAAUAAUCAAUGGUCAUAAUAGUUUUGUAGUAUUUAAUAUCAUUAGAUUUCCCUCUAAUCCAAUAAUUUUAGAUUUAUUGUGGUUAGAAAAAUACAACCCUCAAAUAGAUUGGAUUUCUCGAACUCUUACUUUCUCUAAAAGUAUAACUAACAGUGUAGUUAAUCAAGUAGAGAGUCAUAAGUCCAGUUCAAUUAAACUCAUAUUUAUAGGUGUAAAAGCUUUCUUGCAUACUGGUAUGAAAGAAUUACCAUGUAUUAUUUGUACCACAUAUGUUUCUACUGGUGAAAAGACUUCAAGUAGCAUUCCUAGCCAAUAUCAAGAAUUUCAAGAUGUAUUCGAAAAAAAAAAUGCAAAUACACUCCCGAAACAUCGUCCCUAUGAUUGCUCAAUUGACCUUCAAGAAGGAGCACAACCACCAUUCGGACCAAUCUACAGUUUAUCACAAAAUGAGUUGACCGAACUCAAGGAGUAUAUUGAAGAAAAUCUAGCCAAGAAUUUCAUACGCCAUUCUAAAUCUCCGGCAAGAGCUCUAAUUCUAUUUGUGAAGAAAAAAGAUGGAUCAUUGCAGAUGUGUGUUGAUUAUCGAGGACUCAAAAAGAUUACUAUCAAGAACAAGUAUCCACUACCUUUAAUAUCUGGACUUCUUGAUCAGCUGAAUCAAGCUAAGAUCUAUACAAAAAUAGAUCUUUGAGGAGCAUACAAUCUAGUACGCAUCAAAGAAGGGGAUGAAUGGAAGACUGCGUUUCGAACUAGGUAUGGAUAUUUUGAAUACAACGUCAUGCCUUUUGGACUUACAAAUGCACCAGCAGCUUUUCAACAUCUAAUGAAUGAUGUUUUUUGAGAGUUUUUGGACGAUUUUAUGGUCUGUUAUCUAGACGACAUCUUGAUCUAUUCUAAGAAUUUAGAAGGACAUGAACUUCAUGUUCGUCAUGUGUUACAAAAAUUAAGAGAUGCAGGACUCUAUGCCAAAAUAGAAAAGUAUGUAUACCACACUACUCAAGUCGAUUUCUUAGGUUACAUCAUUUCAAAUGAUGGAAUUAUGAUGGAUCCUAAGAAAGUUCAAACUAUAAUAGAUUGGAAGAUUCCAAAAACGGUAAGAGGUGUCCAAUGUUUUUUGGGAUUUGCCAACUACUAUCGAAUCUUCAUGAAGGACUUCUCUCGAGUUGUAGCUCCACUAACUUGUUUGACUUGUAAAGACAAACUUCAAUGGAAUCAAGAAGCGGAAGUUACUUUUGAAUCUUUGAAGACAUCGUUUGUUUGUGCACCAAUCUUGUAUUGUGUUGAUUUUUCGAAAGCAUUAUUUAUGGAAACAGAUGCAUGAAACUUUGCUCUAGGUGCGGUUUUAUCACAAAUGGGAACAGAUGACAAACUUCAUCCAGUAUCCUUUCAUUCAAGAAAAUUCUCAGUAGCAGAAAUCAAUUAUGAGAUCCACGACAAAGAACUUCUUGCAAUCAUGGAUUCUUUUCAAGAACAGCUUCAUUAUCUAGAAGGCGCUUCCAGUCUAGUCACCAUGUAUACGGAUCACAAGAACCUCGAGUAUUUUAUAUCAGCACGCAUAUUAAAUCAUCGUCAAGCUCGUUGGAGCAUGUCUUUAUGAAGAUUCGAGUUCAUUAUCACUUAUCGGCCAGGAAAACAACAAGGUUUGUCCGAUGCCUUGUCUAAACGUUCUUAUCUUGCACCAAAAGAAGGAGAUGCAGCUUUUGAGUAACAAAGAAUGGUUCUCUUGAAGCCGGAGCAAUUUCAUCUUCAAGCAAUAAAAUCAACAUUGACUGUUGAUUUAACUUUUCUUAAGCAAGUCUAGUUAAGUAUGUCUUCAGACCCUCUUGUUCAUGAUAUCAAGAAUAAUUCUUCUAAAUCUCAUGAUCGCUCUAAAUUUGAAUUCAAGAACAACCUACUCUAUUUCGAAGGACGCCUAUAUGUUGCAGAAGGAGAAGCACGUUUACGUAUUCUUCAAGCUCGUCACGAAUUUCCAACAGCAGGACAUUUUGGAUAUAAUAAGACUUUGGAGCUGAUAUCUAAGGAUUUUUGGUGGCCUCAAAUGUGGAAGGCAGUCAAAGAUUUUGUACAAUCAUGUGAUGUUUGCUUAAGAUCAAAAAUUCCUCGUCAUCGAUCUUUAGGACUUCUUCAGCCAUUACCCAUUCCAAAACAACCAUGGUCUUCUGUUUUGAUGGAUUUCAUCACGGAUCUUCUAAUCUCAGGUUCUUAUGACUCUAUAUUCGUGAUAGUAGAUCAUUUUACGAAGAUGGCAUAUUUUGUACCAUGUACAAAGUCUAUCACAGGUGAAGAAACAACUAAGCUUUUUCUUGAUAAUAUCUAUCGCUAUCAUCGAAUACCCAAGGAUAUUAUAUCAGAUAGGGAAACAUAAUUUGUAUCAAGAUUUUGGCAGACUCUUUUUAAGAUUCUUAAAGUGGAUAUAAAACUAUCUUCGGUAUUCCAUCCUCAAACUGAUGGACAAACGGAGCAUGUUAAUCAAGUUUUGGAGCAAUAUUUAAGAUGUACCAUUAAUUACCAACAAGAUGAUUGGAAAACUCUUUUGCCAUUGGCAGAGUUUGCUGACAAUAACACGGUACAAUCUUCUACAAAACAAACACCUUUCUUUGCUAAUUAUGGUUAUCAUCUACGACUUGAUACUUUUGACUUUUCAAAAGUUGAUAAUCCUGCUGCAAAAGAUUUGGCGAUUCAUUUAUCAGAGGUACAUACAACGAUGAAGGCGCAGUUAAAAGAAGCUCAAGAACAACAAAAGGUCAAUGCGGAUGUCUAUCAAAAAGAACAACCACCAUUCCUCUUGGGUGAUAAGGUAUGGCUACUUUGUCGCAAUAUCAAGACCACUCGUCUUUGUGACAAAUUGGACUAUCAAAGACUUGGACCAUUUUCUAUUUCUGCACAAAUCAAUCCAGUUGCAUAUCAUUUACAUCUACCGGAGUCAAUGAAAAUCCAUCCAAUAUUCCAUGUGUCUCUUCUAGAACUAUAUAAGACAGUGGACAUACCAAGAAGACAACAAGCUCUACCUCCUCCUAUAGAAGUGGACAAUAAUGAAGAGUUUGAAGUAGAAGAAGUCUUAGAUUCAAAGCGGCGUCGAAAUAAAUUAGAAUAUCUUGUCCAUUGGCGCGGAUAUGAUAUUAGUGAAUGCACAUAGGAGCCAAUAAAGAAUCUUGCAAAUGCAGCAAAGGCGGUGGAGGCUUUUCAUCGACGACAUCUAUCAAAAUCAAGAUGAAAACCUUCGUUAUAAAAGAAACAACAUCUAGGCAAGAUAACAUUCUACUUUCAAUCUUUGUUUGUAGCUUCUUUGUAGUAAUGAUGCUUAGGAGAUGGAGAAUCAACAACUAGCGGAUUCGACUCAAGAACCUUCAUUUGCUAACCUGCCAGACGAGACAUUACAAUUGAUACAACCUCCAAGACGACGCAAUCAAGAUGAAGAUCUUCAAGAAUGACAUGUUCUUUUUCGAAUAGAUGGCGAGAUACAACGCGUUUGGUAUCACGAUUUGGGAAGGGAAUCUCGAUGUUUGGUGAUUUUGCUAGAGGUAGGAACAACUCCUGAUGGUGUUCCAAAUGUUCUAUUUGAAGGAAGUUAUGAAGGCCUCAACAAUGAUCAAAUAACUGGGUGGUCUUCCCGCCCUGGUAUGAGACACUACCGAUGGUUGAGAGGCCCUAUCAAUAAUCUUCGAUGAGAACAAAGAUCAGAGUAUGUGGCAAAUACAAUUUGUUGCAUCAUAGAUUUCCUCAACAUAUGAUGACCGCUCCUCGUGGAACUCGUCCCUAGAAGGGAGGGUAAUGUCACAGACAUACUUAUAUAAGCUAAUAAUUACAUAUAUAAAUAGGUAAAAGUAAGUAAAAAUAAGUAAAAGUAAGUUAAUUCUAUAGUAUUUAAUAUAAAAGCUUUCUAGAAGCUUCAUAGACGUUGCUUUGACUUCAUAGGUGUCUUUAAUUGACUUUUCUCGAUUAGAAAUGUGGUCAACAAGUUGGCCAUGUGCCACACAUAUUGUUAACUUGAAGAUCAAGCUAACUAUGUGGCCCACACAUAGAAAAACUUGCCUUGUAAGUCAAGGUAUGUGUCCUACAAAGUCAACACAUAUUGGAGGUCCUAUAGAACGUCGCCAUGUAGUCCCUAGUUGGAUAGUAUAUAUAGAGACAAGAGUGAAGCCUUCUUCACUCUUGUCAACUCUUUUCUUGCUCCCAGCCUAGUUUCAAGAGUCUUCAUGUUUUCUAGUCUUUGGCAAUAGCCAUUUCAGUUUCUCUUUCAAUAUACAUACUUAUUUAUUUAUAUUUUGUUACCUUUCUUUGAGUGAAGGCUCACUUGUCAGAAUUACUUUUCAUCGAGUUCUUGUCCUUGACAUCCUAGGACAACUUUGGUAGAAACUGAAGUUGCUAAGAUUUUGCAUCUUAAGCGGAUCGUGGAUGAAACACCUAUUGACUUCAAUGAUGCACCUAGAAUUACAAGAAUUCCUAUUAAUGAGGCUGAAAACGGACUUGCUCAAAUUGCAAUGCCAUUGAUUACAAUACCUCAAGUUAUAACAACAACAACUAAAAGAACUCGUGGAUCAGAUAAGCAACCACGUAAGAAAAAAGCUAUAAAAUUAACUAAUCUUGGUAUUAUUUCUCAAGAAAUUGCGACUCAUCUUACAGGACUACUAAUUCAUGAUGAUAUAUCCAUGCAUAAUGUACCUUCAAUUCCUAUGAAAAACAAUCUUAGAAUUGGAAGGAAUAAGAAGAAGUUGAGUAAAGAAUUAUCUAUUUUGUAUUAUGCUACAGAUGAUAUUUGGGACAGACCAUCUAUUACGAUAGAUGAAUCAGUUGUACAUAUGAUUAUAGAAGCCCUUUCUUACGAGGAAGACGAUCCUAAACCUCAAACCAUCAAGGAAGCGAUGUGUCGCUUAGAUUGGUCAAAAUAAAAAAAACUUCUGUUGAAGAGGAGUAUGCCUCUUUGCAUAAGAAGAAAGUCUUUGGUCCAAUUGUAGACACUCUAACAUCUCGCCUUGUGGGAUAUAAAAUGGUAUUAAUACACAAGCAAGAUGCUCAAGGCCAAAUAAUCCACUAUAAAGCUCAUCUUGUUGCUGAAGGAUUUACUCAACGAUUUGGCAUUGAUUAUGAAUCCACAUAUUCUCCAGUCAUGGAUUCAAUUACAUUUUGAUAUAUUAUUGGAAUGAUAGUUUAUGCCACCCUUGAGGUGCAUCUGAUGGAUGUAGUAACUUCAUAUCUAUAUGAUUCUCAUGAUGCAAAUAUUUAUAUAAAAGUUUCACUUGGCUUAGAAACACAAAUUCCAAAUCGACUCGUUUCAAGAAAAUAUUAUGGUAUUAAAUUAUGUAAGGCCUUGUAUGGUUUAAAAUAAUCUAGAUGCAUGUGGUAUCAAUAUCUUCGAGAUUAUUUAAUUACAAAUAAUUUUAUAAGUGAUCCACUUAUUCCUUGUUUGUUUAUCAAACGAGAUAAAAUUGGUUUUGUGAUCAUCGCUGUAAAUGUUGAUGAUCUUAAUCUAGUGGGCACUACAUCUCCAUGUGUUAUAGCUAGAAACCUACUUAUACGUGAAUUUGAAAUAAAAAUGCUAGGAAAAACAACUUUUUGUAUUGGUCUUCAGAUUAUGCAUCUAACACAUGAUAGCAUUUUUCUCUACCAACUAAUGUAUAUUAGAUGAAUCUUUCAAAGAUUUAAUAUGAUUGAUGCUCAUCUAUUUUCCACACCAAUGGUUGGACAUGGUUGUGAUGGUCAUGCUCUAUACUGUCCAUUUGAGGAGGAGGAAGAAAUAUUGGGAGAUCAAUAUCUAUACCUUGCAGCGGUUGGAGCACUUUUGUAUUUAGCUACAUCUACAAGAUCAGAUAUUACAUUUGCACUUAGUGUUCUUGCAAGACAUAGUGCACAUCCAUUACUAUGACAUUGGAAUGGCAUCAAACAUUUAUUACGUUAUUUAAAAGGUACUGAAGACUUGAGAUUAUACUACACACAAUCCGCAAAUCCAAAAUUGGUUGGAUAUUAUGAUACAAGAUAUAAAUUUGAUACUGCAAUAGCUAAAUCUCAAACAUGAUAUGUAUUUUUAAGACAUGGAACUGCAAUAUCAUGGAAAUCAGUGAAACAAACAAUAACUGCAACUUCAUUCAACCAUGUAGAAAUGAUUGCCUUACAUGAAGUAUCUCGAGAAUGUAUUUGGUUGCAAUCAAUUGACAAAUUCAUUCAAACAACCUGUGGAUUUUUAUAUGAUGAUUCUCCAACUAUUUUGCAUGAAGAUAAUAGUGCUUAUAUUACACAGAUGCAAGUUGGUUUCAUUAAAGGAGACAUGACAAAGCAUAUUGAUCCAAAGUAUUUUAGUUAUACCCAUGACUUGAUUACUGAUCAAGUACUUAUAAUUAAAAAAAUUGAAUCUAGAAAUAACCUUGCUGAUCUCUUCACCAAAGCUCUUUCAUUAAGCAACCAUCAUCGACUUACUUAUGGCAUUGGUAUGCGGCGACUUAUUUUUCUUGAAUAAGAAAGUUGAUGAGCUCUUUAAAUAAUUAAAGAAAAUGAUAUUGUACUCUUUUUCCUUCAUCUAUGGUUUUGUCCUUAAAUAAAAUAAGGUUUUUUUAGAUAAGGUUUUAAUGAGGCAACUAUUGUUAAUCUUGCAAGAUCAUAGAAAAAUAUAGAUCAUAAUUCUAUAUAAAUUUUAUAUUAUGUAAAUAUUAUGAUGAGCGAGGAGGAGUGUUGAGAUCAUUAAAUGUAGUCGACGCUCUCCAUAAAAUUUACUGUAGACUACAAUAAUUACUAUAGCUACAGUAUUUAGAGUCUAGUGGAGAAGUACUGUUUAUCUUCUUCUCUUUUCUCUUUUUGUAUACGAAACACAACCAGAUGAAUAGAUUUUUAUGUGUGAAGCUCUCUCUCCUUAUAAACCCUCUUGUAUGUAUGACUUACCACUACUCUUGUGUGUGUGUAUGACUUACUACUACUCUUGUGUGUGUGUAUGACUUACUACUACUCUUGUGUAUCUGUAUGACUUAUUAUCAUUCUUGUGUCUUUCUAAACGUUCUCAACAAUAUGCAAUAGUAGUGGAAGUAUUUGGAAAUAUACAAAUUUCACAUUAAUGCACGAUUGAAAUACAGGUGAAUUCUAUAACAGUAUUGGAAAAGGUGUUGCAUGUGGUAAGAAACAUGUACACUCUUCAUCAACAAGAUAGUACGCUUUGUUUGCUUAUAUGCAUGUUUGUAUCAUUAGUUGUCUUGGUAUUUACUCAUCAAAAGUAGAAUUUAUAGAAAUUGAUACAAUUUAAUUUAAAUAGUUUUUGCUAAAUAAAAAAUAUUGAAGUCAGUAAUAUAAUUCAUAUUUAUUUUGUAUAAUAUAUAUUAUAAAAUAUAACAUUAUAAUAUCAAAUUAAUUUAUUUAUGACCUAGAGCUUAGAUUUAGAUAUAAAAAGCAAAAACUUGAAUAUAUCUAAUCACAAGAGAAAUCUUACAAUUAGACAAUUAUAGACAAAAACCAUCAAAUUUAAGUUUCAUCCUACUAUCAAAUCCCACAUGUUAUUUGAACUUCAAAUAAUUUUUAAAAUUAUAAAUUUUAGUUCUUUAAGAAACAAGAACUUUAAUUUGUUUCGUAAAUUAUAACUUUGCAACAUAAUACAAGUUAAUACUUUCAAACCACGUUUGACAAACUCUACGAAAGAUUAAUAGUGAAAAAUUACUUGUAUUUAGAGAUACUUUUUGAAAUAUAAAGCUAUCUAAAUUGGUGAUAGGAAAUCAAGUAUUAAACAUUAUUUUUUAUAUCCUUCAACUAUUGGUAGAUUAUCUAUAUUUAUUUGAAUUAUAUAAUUUUGAUAUUAAUUUAUAAUUAAAAAAAUUUAUUUUAAAUUUAAUCAAUAAAUAAAUAAAAAAUCUUGACCUUUAUAUAUUGGAGUUAGGAUAUAAGUGUGUGAAUUCUAUCUAUAAAUUAAAAUAUUUGAUCUCAACAAAUAUGUCUACUUUACUAUUGACCUAAUAAAUUGACUAUUAGAAAUUACUAUCCUUUACUUUUGUUAUUGAAUCUUCUUGAAAAAUCAAAUAAUGCUAAGAUCUAUUUUAAGAUGGAUCCAUGAUGACCUCACAAUCUAGUAUAAAUUUAAAAUAAUAAAUAAAUAGAAGAUUACAUGUAAAUUUAAAAUGGCUAUUAUAAAUUCAAUGUUAUAUCUUUUGAACUUAUAAAUGCUCUAGUUUCAUUCUAAAAUUUGAUAAAAGACAUAUUUUUUGGAUUCUUAGAUAAUAAUUUUGUAUUAUUUGGAAAAUAUUUUUAAUAAAAAAUUUAUAGAAGAAUAUAUAAUUAAAAUAGAAUAUUUUAUUACACAUAUAAAAAAAAUUAUUAGUCAAGAAAGAAUAAUAUAUAUAUAUAUAUAUAUAUAUAUAUAUAUAUAUAUAUAUUACAUUCAUAUUUUUAAAAAUUAUUAUUUUUUUCUAAUUAUAAAUAUUAUAUGUGAUAUGAUGCUUUUGAAUUUUGAUUUGAUAGAAGAGCUUUACAAAAUAAUAAAGACAUAACAAAAUAAAAAUCAACGACAAUAAAAUGUUAAUACAAAUAUUUUAAGAAAAUAGCCAUUUUUAUUCAAAUUUAGUAAUAAGGCAUAAAUAUUCUAUUGUAGUACCAAAAUUGAUAAAUCAUAUAUAUACACACACAAUAAAGAAUAAAAUAUUAAAACUUCUUUGUAAUAUAGAGAAUAAAUUCUUGAUAGAUUUAGAUCAAAAGAUGUAAUUAUAAGAUUAUUAGAUAAAGUACUUAGGUUGUUUCAAUAUUUAUAACAUUGAAAUUAAAAUGUGGAUCUUCAAAAGAGAUACAUCAUUCUUUAAAUAAAUAACAUGAUACAACGUAUAUGUGCCAAGGAUAUGAAUUACAAACAAACAAAGAAUCAGUAUACUCUGGUAUCACUAGACAAGAUUAGAUAAGAAGGUUCAUGUGUUUAGAUUCUUCAAAUUAGAUAAAUAAUAAAUUUAUUCAAUACAUUAUCUAUCUAAUAUAUAUUAAAAUAAUAUAUAUAUAUAUAUAUAUAUAUAUAUUAGAUAUAUUUGAUAAAUUAAUUUAUUAUCUAAUUUAUUUAAUUUAUUAUAAUAGAUAGAUAUUAGAUUAAAAAGAUUAAUAUUUAAAAUUAGAUCCUUAAAAUUAGACUAUAUGUAAAAUAAAAUUGAUAAGAAUAAAGAAAGCUUCACUCUUGCCUUUAUAUAUACUAUCUACCUAAGAGCUAUAUUCUAUAGGAUCUCCAACACUUGUUCAAUUUGCAAGAUACAUGUCUUAACUUGUAAGGUAAGUUUUCUAAUAUGUAUACCAUAUUAUUAGCUUAUAUCAAAAGCUAACAACACAAGCGACAUGUGACUAACUUGUUGGCUAAGUGUUCAAUGUACAAAUCACCUAUAGACAUGUAUAAAGGUGAAACCACAUCUAUAAAGCUUCUAGAAAGCUUCUUUAAAAGAUAUUGUCAAAUUAAUUUAUUUUUACUUACUUCUACUUAUUUAUAUAUUUAAAUAACUAUUAGAAUAAAUAUAUAUAUAUAUAUAUAUAUAUAUAUAUGUAUAUGCCAUAAAGUAAGAAAAAAAUUAAAUAACUGAGAUUUUAUCUAAUGAUAAUUCGAUUAUAUGAUUAAGAAUUUGAAACACUCUAAGACACAUAAAUAAUAUAUAGAAUGUCUUGAAGGAAUCACAAGGCUUUAGUCUUUUUAUCUUACCUACUUUCAAGAAAUUAUGAUUUAUAUAGAAAAUAUAUAUAUAUAUAUAUAUAUAUAUAUAUAUAUAUAUAUAAUUUUCUAUUAUUUACGAAUAAAAUUAAUUUUUUCUAUUAAAUCAAGUUUUUUUAAUAUUUAACAUCAUAAUGGUUUUUUAAAUACAUCAAGUUAGUCUAAGGACCUCAAUGGGCCUUCACAUCAUGUUCUAUUUCUUUAUAAUAACAUCUAAAAGUUGUUAAAUCCUUUCAAUAAAAAUUCCAAUAUAUCUUUUCAAAAUCACUAAAUAAACUCUAAUUUAUUUUUAAUCAUAUUUAAAUAAUUAUUUUAUAUUAAUCCUUCUUUAUUAUAUUAUGAUAAUAUUAUAAAAAAUAUAAUUUUUAUUUUAAAUAGAUUUACAUAAAAAUAAAUUUAUUAAAAAAUAAAAAAAAGUAUUUAUUUUUAUUAAAUAAUAUAAAUUAAUAACUAUCAAUUAUUAUUACAAAUAAAAGACUAAUAUAUAUGUAUUAUAGAAAAGAAUUAGUUUAUAAAGUUUUAAUUAAUUAUUAAAAAUUCUUGGACUUUGAGGAUUAAUUAUCAAAAAAAUAAUUUUACAUGCUUAAAUAUACUCUUUAUUAUUAUUCACUUCUAUAGGAAGAGAUAGGACUUGUCUUCUUCUUGAUAUAUUCACAAUCUUGUAUAAUUCAAGAAGAGACACAUGGAAUACAUGAUAGAGCUUCAUUAAGUAAUUGGAUUGAUUUGUCUACAAAUAGGAAAAGGUCUAAACUUAUUGUAGUCCAACUUAUUAUAAAGACAAGUAAUCUUGAUAUUAUGAUGAAGUAACCAUACCUUGUCACCUACAUUGAAUUUUUAUUGUUCUUUUCAAUAGGCAUCUAUGUUGAUCUUUUGUCAUUCUUAAGCUUCGUUUAAUUGUGCCUUCAUUAUUGCAUACAGCUUUGUCAAACGAUUUGCCAAAUCUUCUGCAACAAGAUUAUUAACUUUUAAAAAAUCAAAAGUAUCAAGUUGUAAAAGCAUAAUUAGCAAAGAAAGGUGUUUGUUGCAUAGAAGAAUGCAUCGUAUUAUUGUAAGCAAACUCUGCUAAUAGUAAGAAGGUUGUCCAAUCAUCUUGUUGAUAAUUGAUUGUAUAACUUAAGUAUUGCUUUAAAACUUGAUUUAUGUACUUUUUUUGUCGAUUUAUUUGAGGAUGAAAGGUCAAAGAAAGCUUUGUGUCAAUCUUUAGAAUCUUAAAAAGAGUUCUCUAAAAUCUUGAUAUAAAUUAAAUUUUUCUAUCUGAUAUAAUAUCUUUUGGCAAUCCAUGAUAGUAAUAGAUGUUGUUGAAAAAAAACUUAGGCGUUUCUUCAAUUGUGAUAAAUUUUGUACAUAGUACAAAAUUUACUAUCUUAUUAAAACGAUCUACUAUGAUGAAUAUAAAAUCAUACAAACCUGUAAAUGGAUAUAGAUAAGAUAUUUGUGUAGGAAUAAUUAGAACCAUGGAAGAUUUUAGAAUUGGGGUUAGAUUAGUGGACCAAGUAGGAUCCAUUGUGGAACAUUCUAAAAAGAGUUUAGGGUGGUUAUUUAAGUAGAAUCCACUGUAGAACCUUCCAAAAAAGACUUAAGGUAAUUGUCUAGAUAGGGCCUAUUAUAGAACCUUCUAGAAGGAGUUUAAUGCAGUUAUCUAAGUGGGAUCUACUACUUAGGAAUAUUUUAGAAAGUCUAAGGUGGUAGAAAAAAAUAUAAAUAGGACUUGCUAUGGCCUUUUGGAGCAUCUAGCCAAGUAUGGCUUUGAAUCUUUUUUCUUAAUAGAAUUAGAUUUUGUAUCUUCUUAUUUUAUUAUGUUCUGUCUUAAUUUUGAUUCUUCAAUUUUGUAUUUUGUAUCUCAUUUCAUUUAAUUCUAUUCAACUUUUAUUCUAGUCUAAUUUAUCCUAUUUUAUGAUGAGAUUUUAUGUUGCUAUGGAUUAAAAAGGUCUUAGACACUUAAGAUAGAUUGAUCAUGUUUCAUUGGUAUGAAAGCGAGUAUUAAAUUGUUUACUUUUGAUAGUGUAUCAAUAAUCAUUAUCUAGUCUAAGAUGAAUUCUUAUAGUCACACUGGAUACUAUAUUGAAGCUACUAUGAGCUAUUCUUAAAAAAUCAACUAAGAGGUGAAAAGGCAUUAUAAAAGUGGAAUCCAGUGAAGAAAUUACAACAUGGAAAAUAUGGCAGAGGAAUCUCAGAUUGAGGCUCAAAUACAACACCUUUUAGGCGAGAUAGCUACUUUGUAAGUGCAAAUAGAAGCCUUGAUGACAUAGGAGUCAACAUUUGCUAGAUUGAAAUUGAAUAAGGCUAGUACAUACUUUGGGACUUUAUGACAAGAAGAAGUAUGUCAAUGGCUCUUCGAUAUGUGAUAAUACCUUUAACUAUCUAGGGCAAAUAUUAUUGGAGGAAUUAUAUAUGCAGUUGACCAUUUGAGAGAUGCAGCAGCCAUUUGAUGGCAACAUCGAGUUCAAAGCUUUGUAGAGAGGAUCGAUGCUAUAAAUUUUAGAAAUUAUAGAGCAAAAUCUAUAGCACAAAGUCCUAUGUUGUUAUCUAAUACUAUAGCACAAUAACCAAUGCUAAUGGAGAUUGAUGCCUUACAAGCAUUAUUGACACUAUAAAGACAACAAAUAUUGGUGCAAAAGAGAUUGUAUUUCUAUUGUCAAGAGCAAGGCCAUCAGAUCAGAGGUUGUCAAAAAUAUCAAAAUUUAAACACCAUCAAGACAAGGCAAAUUCACAACCUCGAAACUCAGCAAGUUGAUAAUGAGAUAGAGCACAAAAACGAGGCUUCUUAGUAAAGGUGCCAAGAGCCAAUACUCGGAAUAGCUACUAUCUCUUAGAGACAAAUAGCAUGGCCUUGGAUAACUAUAAAAAGAGGUGAUUAGUACAUCUAACAAGACUACUAAGAUGACAACCAUGUCAAGUGCUUGUAGAUUGUCACUCUAUGAAAAAUUGCAUCUCAAUUGAAAUUGCUGACUGACUUGGAAUUAAAAUUAAGGCAAUGAAAGGAGGAAGUAUAUAUCUUGUAGAUGAUCAAGAGAAAAUAUUAAGUGAGACAUGUGAAGAAUAAUCUUUGAGAUUGAUUGAUACCUAUAUCUUAAGAGAGAGGUUCAAGGUAAUAAAAUUGAGGUAUGCCAUGGCUAGAGAUGGAAAAUAAGCAAGUUAAUUGGAUAGCAAGCACAAUCUCUUUUAAAGAUGGUGGAAGCAAAGUGAUUCUUUACACCUUCAUAUCAAGUGAAAAAGAAAGACAAUCUACAUCCAAAGACUAACUUAUAGAGACGACCUUUAUGAAGAAGCAAAUACAACAUAAGCCAUCGAUAUAUAUGAUAGUUCUAAAUCUUACAUUAGUGGUGGACAAGACAACUAAAAGAGUAGAAUGGGCAGAGUAACUCAUAUGAUAAUAUUGAGAUGUCUUUUCAAUUGACCUACCUAGUAUUGUGCCUCCUGAUUGAGGUGGCCCUUUUCAAAUAGAACUAUUUUUUAGAGCCAAACUAGUAAGUUGACUAGUUUAUCAUCAAAAGAACUUGAAGAGCUGCAGAAGGCAUUGGAUGAAUUCUUAGAAAAAGGCCUUAUUUGAAAAAGCAUAUCACUAUAGAGAGCACUUUUAUUCUUUGCAUCUAAGAAGGAUGAUGAACUUUGCCUUUGCAUUGAUUAUCGAAGCCUCAAUAAGCAGACUGUUAAGAAUCCAUAUCCACUUCCACGCAUGGAUGAUCUUCUUGAUCAAAUUUGAAGUACGACCAUCUUUAGUAAAUUAGAUUUUUAGAGUGGUUAUUAGUAAAUACCUAUUCCAAAAAAAGAUGUAGAAAAGAAGGUAUUUUGUAUGUGCUAUAGACAUUUUAAAUGGCUAGUUUUAUCUUUUGGCCUUACUAAUAUUCUAGUCUCGUUUAUAAGUCACAUAAAAAGAUUUUUUUGGAAUGUUUUAAACAAGUAUGUAGUUGUCUUCAUUGAUGAUAUCUUCAUAUACAGUAAAAUCUUUGAAGAGCAUGAACAAUAUUUACAAGAAGUAUUGUGCUGACUAUAAGAUAGUUACUUCUAUUGUAAGCAAUCAAAAUAUGAACUUUAGAAGUCAAAAGUCACUUUUUUUGGACAUGUGGUAUCCUCCAAAGGCAUGUGUAUGGAAUUAGAUAAGAUGAAAGGAGUGGAAGAUUAGUCAACCUGCAAAGAUGCUUUUGAAGUCCUUUCAUUUUUAGGCCUUAUUAGAUAUUAUUAUUGUUUUGUUUGGCGAUUUACUCAUAUUGCUACUUCAUUGACAAACCUAUUAAAGAAGGGUGAUCCAUUUGAAUGGAAACUAGAGCAGUAAAGUGCCUUUGAUAAGUUGAACGAGGCACUCAUUAUUGUUCCAAUAUUAUAAUCAUAUGAUCCUUACCUUCCUUGUAUGCUUGACAUUGAUGCAUCUGACUUUGCUAUUGUAGGGAUCCUUUAACAAGACUUUGAUAAGGACCUUCAACUUGUAGCAUAUAAAUCAUGCAAGCUCAAAAGGACAGAGCACAAUUAGUCUGCAUGUGAUCAAAAGUAAUUAAUAUUAUACACACUACAAAGAUGUGGUGACACUAUGUGUUGGAGAAGCGAAUGGUUGUUUAGAGUAACCAUCGAUCUCUUGCUAUACGAUUUGCAUUUAGAAAAUAUAAAAUCACAAUAUUAUCAUUGAGAAGAACAAUUGUAGUUUUUUGAUAUUCAGCUUAAAUAUAAACAAGGACAAGAACAUAUUGUGUCAGACAGCUUAUCGCAGAGACUAGACUUGAAGAACAAAUCUAGAGACAAGGUAGAAGUUGUUACUAUUAGUAGUGUUAUUUCAAAUCUAACCAAAGAGGCAUAAUGGAAAGAAGCUAUGCAUUAGAAUAUUUAUUUCAAGAUGGUUAGUGAUUGACUGAAGGUGGACAAUAUAUAAUAUCAAGAUUAUAUUCUUAUUGAUGGCUUUUUUUAUUUCAAGAAGCAAAUUUAUGUAUCCAAUAAUGCUAUACUUUAGACAUGCAUACUUCAAGAGAGACAUGACAUUUGAAUAUCUAGACAUCUAAGAUAAGAAAAGACUCUAGAAUGAAUCUUAAGGAUAUGGUUUUGGAUAGGUUUGGAUUGUGAUGUUUGAGUCCAAAAAAUAUUACAUAUUUCUUAUUGUUCUUGAAAUCUUUCAAUCUAUAAUAAUUUGAAUCUUCUUUGGAUCCAUCAUAAGUUUUUUAUUGGAAAUGAUAUAUCCCAAGAAGUAAACUUGAGUAGUGUAGAAUAGACAUUUUUUUAACUUGGCGUACAAUCUUGCAUCUUCAAGUUUUUGUAAUAUAAAACAAAUAUGAACUUCAUACUCUUUUGUAUUUUUAAAAUAGAUUAAAAUGUUGUCUAUGUAACAAACAACAAAAUCAUCUAAAAACUCACAAAAAACAUCAUUCAUAAGAUGUUGAAAAGUAGCUCGUGCAUUUGUGAGUUUAAUAGGCAUGAUAUUAUAUUCAAAGUACUCAUACCUUGUUCAAAAUGUAGUCUUCCAUUCAUCUCUUUUUUAAUACAAACCAAGUUGUAUGCUCUUCAUAGAUCUAUUUUUGUAUAGAACUUAGUUUGAUUUAGUUGAUCAAGAAGUCUAGAUAUCAAAGAUAAAGGAUAUCUAUUCUUAAUGAUAAUCUUGUUGAAUCCUCGAUAAUCUACACACAUUUGUAGUGAUCCAUCUUUUUUCUUCACAAAUAAGAUAGAAGCUCUUACAAGAGAUUUCCAAUAGCAUAUGAAAUUCUUAACCAAGUUCAUGUCAAUGUAUUUCUUGAGUUCAGUCAACUCAUUUUGUGAUAAACUAUGGAUUGGAUCAAAUGGUGGCUGACUUCUCUCUUUAAAGUCAAUUGAAUAAUCAUAUGGAAAAUGCUCCAAGUGAAUACUUGCAUUCUUUUUUUCAAAAAUAUCUUAAAAAUCCUGAUAUUGAUUUGGAAUGCGACUUGAAGUCUUUCUGUUAUUAAAAAUGGAUGUAGCAUAAAUAACAAAAAGCAAUCCUUCUUUUGCAACAUGCAAGAAAGCUUUUUCACUUACAAGUAUAAGUUUGACUAUAUUAGAUUCAUGACUUUCUACAAAAUUCUUAAUAAUACUUUGAAGAAAGUUAAAUUUAUGAGAAAUCCAAUCUAUAAGAAGAUUAUACUUUUUUAGUCACAAUAAACCUAAAAUAAUUAGAUUAGAUGAAGAUCUUAUUACAUUAAAUAUUACUAUGCUAUUAUGAUCUUUAAUUGCUACAUCUAAAGGAACAAUCUCAUGUAUAAUAUCUCCAAAAGAUAGCAAAUGACCAUCUAUAAGUUCUACAUGUACAAUUUAAGUUUUCUUGACUAACAAUAUCUCUUAUUUUUUGACAAAAUCUUUGACUAUUUUAUAGAUUAAGGCUCAUGAACGUAACAAAGCUAAGACUUUGUGAUUUUUUUGUCAUAAAUAAAUUUCUAUUGUAAAACAAAAUAAAAGAUUUGAUGAGAGAAUAUAACCUUUACUAAGAAUUAUAUAAGAUUCUAACCACAUAAUCCCUAUUAUAGUUGGAGAAAGUCGUUUUCUAACACAUUGUCUUCUUUAGGAACCAUGCUUCUCAUUCUAUGAUUGUCUUGUUUCUUUGGACAAUAUUGAGCAGUGUAUUUAACUUCUCUAUAAUAUAAGCAUAAGCCUUCUUGACAUCGUCAACUCUUUUCUUACUUUUUAAGGGAAUUAAAACAUAUCAUAUCAAUUUGUAUUGGUUUUGGCAUUACUGAAUAAGUUUUUUAAAAAUUUAGGAACUCCUAUCAUUAUUUGAUUUGUUCCUUUGUAGCUAAGUCUUUCUUUUUAACAUCUUUCAAAUAAUUGAUUGUCAUAUGUAAUGGCUUGAGCAAAGCUAGUACUUCACCCAAUAGCAUUUCAUUCUACAAAAUUUUUGGCAUCCAAAAUUAACUAUGAGAUCUACAACAAAGAACUUUUUGCAAUAGUGGAUUCUUUUUAAGAAUGAAGUCAUCAUCUAAAAGGUACUUUCAGUCUAAUCACCAUAUAUAUAGAUCAUAAGAACCUCGAGUAUUUCCUAUCAGUACAUAUUUUGAAUCAUUGUUAGGAUCAUUGGAGCAUGUCUUUGUGAAGAUUCAAAUUCAAUAUCACUUAUCAGUCAAAAAAAUAGCAAGGUUUGUCUAAUUUUCUUUCUAAACAUUUUUAUCUUGUACUUAAAGAAGAAAAUAUAGAUUUUGAUCAAUAAAAGAUAAUUUUAUUAAAGCUAGAACAAUUUCAUCUUUGAAUAGUGAAAUCAACAUUAAUUAUUGAUUCAACUUUUCUUAAGCAAAUUCAAUCAAGUAUAUCAUGUUAUCCUCUUAUUUAUAAUAUGAAGAAUAGUUCUUUUAAGUCUCAUGAUACUUCCAAGUUUGAGUUCAAGAACAACCUACUUUAUUUUAAAUCAUGCCUAUAUGUUCCAAAAGGAGAAACAUGUUUACGUAUUCUUCAAGCAUGUCACGACUUUCCAGCAGCAUGACAUUUUGGAUACAACAAGACUUUAGAAUUAAUAUCCAAAGAUUUUUGGUGGCUUCAAAUAUAAAAGGUUGUAAGACUUUAUUCAAUCAUGUGACAUUUGCUCAAGGUCAAAAAAUCCUCGUCAUUGACCUUAUGGACUUUUCCAACCAUUAUCUAUUCAAGAACAACCAUGGUCUUUUAUUUCUAUGGAUUUUAUUAAGAAUCUUUUAAUUUGAGAUUUGUGAAAUUUUAUAUUUAUAAUAGUAGAUUAAUUUACCAAAGUGGCACAUUUUGUACCAUGUAUAAAAUCUAUCUCAAGUACAAAAAUUGCUUAGCUUUUCUUUGAUAAUAUCUAUAGAUAUCAUGGAUUGCCAAAAAAUAUUAUAUCGAAUAGGGUGACUUAAUUUGUAUCAAGAUUUUAGAGAUCCCUUUUUAAAAUUCUAAAAGUAGACAUGAAGCUUUCUUCGGCCUUUCAUCUUCAAACAGAUCGAUAGAUAGAGCUUGUAAACUAAGUUUUGGAAUAAUACUUAACAUGUACUAUCAAUUAUAAACAAGACAAUUGAACAAUCCUCUUGCUAUUGGCGGAGUUUGCUUAUAAUAAUAUGAUGUAUUUUUCUACACAACAAACACCUUUAUUUGCCAAUUAUGAUUAUCAUCUAUAACUUGAUAUUUUUUACUUUUCAAAAGUUAAUAAACUUGGAAAGAAGAUUUCCUAAAUCAUUUGUUAGAGCUACAUGCAACAAUGAAGACAUAAUUAAAGAAAGUUCAAGAAUGCCAAAAGACCAGCGCAGAUGCCUAUUGCAAGCAGCAACCAGAAUUCAAUAUAGAUGACAAGGUAUGGUUACUUCAUCCCAAUAUCAAGACUACUUGUCCUUGUGAUAAGUUGGACUAUUAUAGGUUGAAACUUUUUUUUAUUCGUAAAGAAGUCAAUCAUGUUGCUUAUCGAUUACAUCUAUCAAAGUCUAUAAAGAUCAUCAUGUAUUUUAUGUGUCUCUUCUUGAACCAUAUAAGAUAGUGAAUAUCUCAAGAAGAAGAUAAAUGACACCUCAUCUUGUAGAAGUGGAUAAUAAUCAAGACUUUAAAGUAGAAGAAGUCUUAGAUUUAAGAGGGCAUCAAAAUGGAUUAGAAUAACUUAUUCAUUGGCAUAGAUAUUAUAUUAGUAAAUGCACAUGGGAGCCAGCAAAGUAUCUUAUAAAUGCCACAAAGAGAGUUGAAGCUUUUCAUCGAUAACAUUCAUCAAAAUUAAGAUGAAGAAUAGCAAAUCUUUGCUAUAAAAGAAACAAGAUCAAAAGAAGAUAACAUUCUACUUUCUAUCUUUCUUUGUAGCUUCUAUAUAUUUGUGAUGCUAAGAAGAUAGAAAAUCAACAAUCAGCAAAUUCAAUUCAAGAGCUUUCAUUUGCAAACAUAUCAGAUGAGAUAUUUGAUUAUCACAACCUUAAAGAUAAUGAAAUUGAGAAAAAUAUGCUCAAGAAUAACAUGUCUUUCCUUGAAUAGAUGACAAGAUACAAAGUGUUUAGUAUCAUGACUUGAGAAGAGAGUCUUGAUGUUUGGUGAAUUUUAUUAGAGAUAGAAACAACUCUUGACGAUGAUCCAAAUGUUUUAUUUGAAGGAAGUUACGAAGGCCUCAACAAUGAUCAAAUAACAAGGUGGUCUUCUUACCAUAGUAUGGAAUACUAUCGAUGGCUGAGAGGACCUAUCAACCAUCUUCAAAGAGAACAAAGAGCAAAUUAUGUGGCAAAUACAAUUUGUCGCACCUUAAAUUUUUUCAACAUAUGAAGAUCGCUCCUCUUGAAACUUGUCCCUAGAAGGAUGGAUAAUAUCACGGAUAUACAUAGGUAGUCUAGUAAAUACCUAUAUGAUUAUAUAAGAAUAGGUAAAAAUAGAUAAAAGUAGAUUAAUUUUAUAAGACCUUCUAGAAAAGCUUCCUAAAAGCUUCAUAGAUGGUACUUUGACUUUAUAUAUGUUUGUAAUUGAUUGAUAGGUUAGAAACUUGAUCAAGAAGUUAGUCACAUAUUGGUAGCUUGCGAAACAAGCUAAUUAUGUGGCACACGUAUAAAAAAACUUGUCUUAUAAGUUAAAAUAUGUGUCUUACAAAGUCAACAUAUUUUGGAGGUCUUAUAGGACAGCGCCACAUAGCUCCUAGUGAAGAGUAUAUAUGGAGACAAGAGUGAAGCCUUCUUCACUCUUGUGAAUGCCUUUCUAGUCCUUAAACUUACUCCAAGUCUUUCUAGUCUUCUUAUUUUUGGCAAUAGCCAUUUCAAUUCAAUAUUAUAUCAUCUUUAAGUGAUUUUUUAGUUCUUUUCAAUGAUAUAUGAGUGUAUUAAAGAUUUUCUUUUCUCGAGAUUUAUAUCCUUGACACAAAGACAUGAAUUGAAAGAAGAUGUAUAAACUUGUGAAAUCCAUAUCAAAAGAAAAGUGACAAAAUAAAAAUAAAGAAGUAUGUAUAUUAAAUAGAAAUUGGAAUGGCUAUUACCAAAAGACAAAGAAACUAGAGAUUCUAGAAUUUACAUUAAAAGCAAGAAAAGAAUUGACAAGAGUGAAGAAAGCUUCAUUCUUGCUUCUAUAUAUACUAUUUAUCUAUAAACUAUGUGGCAACAUUCUAAAGGACCUACAACAUGUAUUGACUUUGUAGGACACAUGUCUUGACUUGCAAGAGAAAUUUCUUAUGUGUGCCACAUAAUUAGCUUGUUCUAUAAGCAACCAAUAUGUGUAAUAUGUAGCUAAUUUGUUGACCAAUUUUUUAACCUAAAAGUCAACUAUAGAUACCUAUAAAAUUAAAAUAGCAUCUAUAAAGCUUUUAGGAAGCUUCUUAAUAAAAUAUUAUAAAAAUAAUAUACUUUUACUUACUUUUUCUAAUUAUCUAGAUAAAUCCUAGAGUAAUUAUGUAUAUCCAUGACAAUAUGUUUAAUUUUUAUUCAUAUAUUUUUAUUGUAAUAUUUUUUGAUAAAUUAUUAUUUGAUUUUUUAUUUUAUUUUAAUUUUGAUAAAUAGGAUCUUAUAUUUUAUUAGCAUUAGAUGCAUCAACUUCUUUUUGGAAGUAAUAGAUUAAAAAGAUCAUUAAAAUGUGCUAGUAUACACUAAAAAAAUAAAAAUUACAAUUCAUACCAUACAACCAAAUAUAGAUGUUGGAUGGUAUUAAUAAAAUAUAUUAUGAAUUUAUUAUUUUGUCUAAUAAAUUAUAAUUUAUGAUUACAAAUAUUUAGAUGUUUUUUAGCACAAUUAAAAAAAUUGAGUAUUUUUUACUUAAAUUUACAUUACUAGGUUGAAAAUAAAUACAAGAGUCUUCAAAGAAAAUAGUAAUAAUUAUUUUGGAAAAAAAGAAAAGAAAAUCACAAAACACAAAACACAACUAUUACAAACAUCACAAAAUAAUCACUGUAAUCUAGAGCAUUAAUUUGCAAUAGUAAUUUAAUUAAUAACAUCAAAUAAAACACUGAAAAAGUUGCAUGACAUAAAAAGUGGUUAGACGUAUAUUUUAAACACAAAGCAGUGUUACAUGGAGGAUUUAAUAUUCCAGUUCAAUGCCAAUCGUUUUUUUGCUGAUAUUAUUGAGAGGUAAAGAGUUCACUGACACAUGUAAAGAAAUAGAAUAUGUGUUCUCGCAUGUUUAUCACGUGACCAAUUGACUCACUCUACCACCCCAACAGUAAAUUCAUAAAAAUAAAUAUAAAAUAUAUAUAUAUAUAUAUAUAUACAUCUCUCUCUCUUUCUAUAUAUAUAUAUAUAUAUAUAUAACUCCCAAUGGAAUGUGAAUGAAACAUUCCAUACUGCUGCAUCUAAUAUUUAUUUAAAUUUUAAUAUAUAAAAAGUAAAAAGAUGAGUAAUACUUUGGUGAAGUUACUUUAUACAGACUUCUGGUUGUUUCUCAUUUUCAUUUAUAAUUUUCCCAGCUAGCUUUAUGAUUUUCUAAUUAGAUCAUUGACCAGUAAGCUCACCCAAGAUUAGCUGGUAAGCUGACAAACUUAGGCUGGGUUUUCAAUGAUCCAAUUACUAUUUGGGCUAAACGCUUGUUUAAAGUGAACCAGUGUCCAAAACACAUGGGCUCAAAGUUUGCUCCAACUCAUGUCGAAUAUAGUGGAUAAAAGAAAAAGAAAUGAAGAUGCAAAAGAACAGAAACAAAGUAAAAAGAAUUUCCAUGUCACUUCGAAGAAACUGUCAAUUCAUUAAAGGCACUUUUUGUCCUGACACACAAUCCAGCCAUCAUCAAUCCAUCCGUCCAGUCAUUCUUUGCGGGAGGAUGACGAAUGAAAGAUAAUUAUGAAAUAUUGUGAAAAUUUUAUAUUUCUCCGGAUUUCUCUUGCAACAUAAUCUUCACAACUUUUCUCUUCUUAUUUUAACUUUUCAUCAACUUAUUCUCCAUUACUUAAUUAUACUGAAAUUGGAUUUUGAGUUUUUUCACAUAUGGAAUCACAAAUUUUUAAAGAAAAAAAUAAUUAUAGGUAAGAAUGAAUGAAUGAAUAUAUAUAUAUAUAUAUAUAUAUAUAUUUUUUUUGAUAUGAUUUUAGUUCAUAUAUUUCCCAGUGACUAUAUAUAUAUAUAUAUAUAUACAUUCGAAUCCUUCUAAGACCUUACAGGCUCAUUUGGUACCUACUCUUGAGUAGGAAGUCUUUUAUAAUUUCGAGCACAUGCUUAGUAGUCCAAACACCAAAUUCAUAUCAAAAUACAUAGUGUAACAAUUUUAUUUAAAAAUAAAUAAAUUACUGCACUGUUCAUUGUGCUGUACCCAAAGUUAAUGUACCAUUAAACCAUUUUGGUAAUUUAUCAUGAAACACAUAUUCAUCAACAAAUCAUAAUUAUUUAAUAAUCUUUAAAAGAUCUCAAAAUUUAAUAAUCUGUUUCAAAAUAAAAAAGUGUUGGUCUGUCUUUGUGUAGGCUUUUUGUAGACAUUUUGUGGUAUUUCGAAAUAUUAUUCAUGAGAUUAUGUUCUUACAAGCAACUGAAAAAGAUUUAUCUGCAUACAUUGUUGUUAUAUUUUAGUUUGCUAUCGUGAUUCCUAAAUUCAAACUAUAAAAUACAGUUUAUGUUAAAAUUGGUUACUUUGUGAAUAUAUAUAUAUAUAUAUAUAUACAUAUAUGUAUAUUUAAUUUAAACAAAUACCAAAUUAGAAUACUUUAAAUUAGCUAAUUAACUACAUUAUUGCCUCAAAGUAAAAUUCAAAAUGCGAAUAUUGUUACAUUUAUUAACAUAUACUCAUGUUUUACAUUGUUUUUUUAUUCAUUUUUAAAAAGCCAAGUCUAAUAAUUGUUUUUUGAAAGAUUUGCCAAACAAAAUAUUUGUAUGUAUGUACAGAUAGAGAAUUACACUAAUAUAAAAUUUAAAACUUGUUCCAUUGUUAUUGAGAGUUUCAUAAAAACAGUACAAGAGUGCACAAACAUAUUAUAAGUAACAGAUUGGUACAAAUAAGAAGAUGAAAAGCUUUAAAUUUUAGCCAAAACAUUAUAAGUAACUAUCAACCAAGAACAAAUUGUACAAUUUGUGUUUCUAGUAGAACAUGAUCCUAAUAUGCUAUACAUUCAUAAAUAAAUAUAUAUAUAUAUAUAUAUACACAUAUAUAUACACACGUAUAAAAAUACCUACAAAUAUAUAUAUAUAUAUAUAUAUACAUUCUAUAAGUAAAUGUUAAUUAAAGAUAGCCAACAUUGAACCCAUUGAAGAAUGUAACUUGUUAAGGGACUAUGUAUAUAUAUAUAUAUAUAUAUAUAUAUACAUAUACAUAAAUUAAAUAGGAUGAUAUAAAUUGAGGAUGAUACAAAUAUAAAUUAGCCAUGAAAUCAUCAAACCAUCAAUCAUCCAGCAAUCAAUUCAUCCAUUCACCCACUAACGGGCGUUGUCUUUGUUACAUCCAUCCAUCUAUCCAUCCAUCUAUCCAUUCAUCCAUCCUCGUGACCAUUCUCCCAUUCUUGUGCCCCCAGAACACUUCCCAUGCACUAUACCUACCUCCCUCCAUCGUCUUUAUAUUUAACGGUCUUUGAGGCAUCUUUAUCCCGUGUUUCUAUCGGGAGAGGCGUGUGCCGGCAGGCCCCAGGUGGGCACAACACAAGUGGAGUGGCGAGCAGCGACCAGCGAAUGGCAUUCAUAGGCCAGAGACACUGAAAAAAAAAAAAAAACAAAACAAAACAAAACAGAAAUAAAAUUAAAGAAAUGAACCCUCAACAACACAACACGAGAGAGGGGGACUGGAUGAAGCGAGAGAUCCAGCUGGAUAGAGCUCAACCGAAAUGAUGAUCACGUUGAAACCCAUCAUCUCCGGAAGUAUCCUGAAUCCAAGGAAUCGUAUUUAUAGUUGCAUUGCUACCAGUUUGUGCAAGUUGGAGCGGAGGGUAGAGGAGUUCAAUUCAAGGGUUUAAGGCCCUCGGUCGCUGCGCCAGCUCGAUGACGAUCCAACUGGGGACCCCGUGUGAAGUGCGGUGCAUCGCGGUCGCGUUGUUGCUAGGUUUGUUGUGCUGCUUCGACGUGGAUGCUGUGGCCACUGCGUCGGAUGCUGAGGCGAGUGAGUAUACGUGCUACCCGAGCGUGUUCGUGUUCGGGGACUCGAGGUCCGACGUGGGAGAAGUUCAAGCUUCCCUGCCUUUCAGCUUUCUCUCUGCGAGUCCUCCCUAUGGUUCGUCGUACUUUGGUCGGCCAGCCAGCCGGUUCUCCGACGGCAGACUAUCCAUCGACUUUCUUGGUACUGUUUCUCACCUCUCCUGGUGGUUUCCUUGAACAGAACUUUCCAGUGUUUCCAGGCUUGAAAUUUCUGCGGAUACACAAAUCUCAAUGUCGUAUGCGUGUGUUGCAGCUCAGGCGUUCAACAUCCCAUUUCUGAGCGCUUAUCUGCAAGGCAUAAAUUCCGACUUCAGGAAAGGUAUCAACUUCGCAGCAUCCAGUGGCAAUGCUCGGCCAGUGCAGUACAAGGGCGUGAUAUUCCACUUGCAGGCUCAGGUGCAGCAGUACAAAUGGGCCAAACAUCUUGCAUCUGAUGCCGGAGCCAUUGGAGAUGGCACGAUUUCGAAGGGCCCAGUGGCAAGUUCAUUCGAUCAAGGGUUACAUAUCAUCAACAUAGGCGAGAACGAUUACAGAAAGGGGUACUUUAACAACUUGUCCUAUGAGGAAGUGGCGAAGAGUAUACCCGACGUUGUUGGUAACAUCACCUUGGCGCUAGAAGUAAGUCUCGGAGCAAUGUUAACCUCAUAGCCCUCGCAGAAAAUCUAAGAGGGAUGAAGCAAAAUGAUUUCAUCUUACAUUGUAUGUGUGGUAGCGACGAUGACAGUUGUGGCUGGUUUCUGCCCGAAUCCUCAGUGCUGUUUAAUCACCGUGCAUGUUCUUGUGAAAGUACGUGUAAGCUAACCCGAGUGACUUCUUGGCGCUGCAGAAUCUGUACGAAAGCGGUGCAAGGAAAUUCCUCGUGUUCAAUAUACCCUCAGAAGGCUGCAAGGGUUUCCUAUUGGCCCAAUUUCCAGGCUCGUCUCCAGGGGACUACGAUCGGCUGGGCUGCCUGAGAGCAAUGAACAACAUAACCCAACAGCACAACGCCAGGCUGAAAUCCGCCGUCGAUGAUAUCAGAGGGAAGCAUCCCGAUGCACUGUUCAUGUUGGCUGAUGACUACGGGUUUAAUCUUGAUCUGAUCGAAAACCCGGAGAAAUAUGGUAUGCCUUGCUUCCAAAUACUGAAAAAGCAUAGUUUUUGCGAAUCGAAGUAGAGAUAGUGAGCCAGAGAGGGUGAUCAAAUGUUCACAAUUCUCACAUGUUUCGUGCCUCGAUGUUUAUGGCGAUACUCCGCAGGGUUCAAAUAUACUAUUCAGGCGUGCUGCGGAGUUCGUCCGACCCCUUACAACUACGAUCCCGCCAGGAGUUGCGGGCACCCGGACGCAACUGUGUGCUCCCAUCCUUCGGAGUACAUCAGCUGGGACGGCAUCCACCCCACCGAACACCAAAACCGUCUGCAAGCACUUGCCUUUCUGAGUGGGAGAUUCAUCGAUCCUCCCGGUGCUCUCGCCGGUCACUGCAAGCCGAAUUUCACUGACUUUAAAGAGCAGAUCCCCGUAGCCGAUCAGAGAUGAUUCCAAUGUGGUAGCCAAGUGCGCAUGCGUGUGGACAGAGCUUGCCAUGUACUUGGGCUGUGACUUCUUUGUGUUUUCGUCCGCGGAGUCGGUCAGCCUUUCUUAUUGUAUCCAUCGUUUUGUGACGCGUCACCGCUAUUCUUUGCUGAUCCUGGACGUUGUGUACCACUCUUGUCUCGAUGUUAGUGCACGCCAUGCAUCAGCCACAACUGAAUGAUGCGCCUUGCCAUUGCUCCAGGCGAGUGUUCCUCUUCAUUCAGUGUUGGAUGGUUUCUAGGCUGGUGCUUCUGUCCAUGGCCGGGUGAAGCUUUUCCUAAUCUAGGCUGAUUUAUUGUAACCUUAUUAUAAAUUUAGAAAAGGGACAUUAGAAAACAGAAAAUCGAUGAAAUCACGCAAACCGAAAGAGUUCGGAUGUGGAAAUGUGGAACAUGUCAUAAGGUUGGUAUCACGUGUUUUUGAGUGUGUUGAAUCUUUCGAUUUUCAAAGUG